rnacentral:rRNA from 1 species
UCAAGUUAUUAAGGGUGCAGGGCGGAUGCCUUGGCACUAGGAGCCGAUGAAGGACGUGAUAAGCUGCGAUAAGCUUCGGGGAGUUGCACGUAAACUUUGAUCCGAAGAUUUCCGAAUGAGGAAACUCACUUAGAGUAAUGUCUAAGUAUCGUUAAGUGAAUACAUAGCUUAGCGAGGGGAACCCGGGGAACUGAAACAUCUAAGUACCCGGAGGAAGAGAAAGAAAUUCGAUUCCGUAAGUAGCGGCGAGCGAACGCGGAACAGGCCAAACCAAUGAAGUUUACUUCGUUGGGGUUGCGGACAUACAACAUGGAUGCAAUAUCGUAAAUGAAGAGAGUUGGAAAGCUCCGCCAUAGAAGGUAAUAGCCCUGUAGUUGAAACGAGAAAGCUACUAGUAUGAUCCAGAGUACCACGGGACACGUGAAACCCUGUGGGAAGCAGGAGGGACCAUCCUCCAAGCCUAAAUACUACCUAGUGACCGAUAGCGUAUAGUACCGUGAGGGAAAGGUGAAAAGAACCCCGGGAGGGGAGUGAAAGAGAACCUGAAACCAUAUGCCUACAAGAAGUCAGAGCCCGUUAAAGGGUGAUGGCGUGCCUUUUGUAGAAUGAACCGGCGAGUUACUGUAUGGAGCGAGGUUAAGCAGGAUAUGCGGAGCCGAAGCGAAAGCGAGUCUUAAGAGGGCGAGAGUUGCAUGCAGUAGACCCGAAACCGGGUGAUCUAGCCAUGACCAGGUUGAAGUUGGGGUAAAACCCGAUGGAGGACCGAACCGACCCCCGUUGAAACGUUGGCGGAUGAGUUGUGGCUAGGGGUGAAAUUCCAAUCGAACCCGGAGAUAGCUGGUUCUCCCCGAAAUAGCUUUAGGGCUAGCGUCGUGAAGAACCUGAUCGGAGGUAGAGCACUGAAUGAGUGAUGGCCCCAUCCCGGGGUACUGAACUCAAUCAAACUCCGAAUGCCGAACAGGAUGCACGGCAGUCAGACCGUGAGUGAUAAAGUCCAUGGUCAAGAGGGAAACAGCCCAGAUCGCCAGUUAAGGUCCCAAAAUUCCGGCCAAGUGGAAAAGGAAGUGGGGAUGCACAGACAACUAGGAGGUUGGCUCAGAAGCAGCCAUCCUUGAAAGAGUGCGUAACAGCUCACUAGUCGAGUGACCCUGCGCCGAAAAUGUACCGGGGCUAAGCCGGAUACCGAAACUGCGGAUAUCUAAGGAUGUGGUAGGGGAGCGUUGCAUGCAGGAAGAAGCCGUACCGAGAGGAGCGGUGGACCGCAUGGAAGCGAGAAUGCCGGUGUGAGUAGCGAGAUGAAGGUGAGAAUCCUUCACACCGAAAGCCCAAGGAUUCCAGGGGAAGGUUCGUCCGCCCUGGGUAAGUCGGGACCUAACGCGAGGCCGAAAGGCGUAGCGGAUGGAAAGCAGGCAGAUAUUCCUGCACCCGGAUGUAGAGCGAAGGAGUGACGGAGACGGGAAGCAUGACCCUCUUAACGGAUUGAGGGCGAAGCGAGGUAGCGGAUGACCAGGCAAAUCCGGUCAUCGGAACGUGAAGACGUGACAGGGAAGCGAAAGAGCGAUCGAGUAGCGAAGACAUGCGGACCGGCUUCCAGGAAAAGCUUCUAGCAAUGUAUGUCCGGCCCGUACCAAAACCGACACAGGUGGGCAGGGAGAGUAUCCCGAGGUGAGCGAGAGAACUGUUGCCAAGGAACUCGGCAAAAUGACUCCGUAAGUUAGCGAGAAGGAGUGCUCGAAAGAGCCGCAGUGAAGAGGCCCAAGCGACUGUUUAACUAAAACACAGCUCUCUGCGAAGCCGCAAGGCGAAGUAUAGAGGGUGACACCUGCCCGGUGCUGGAAGGUUAAGAGGAUCUGUGAAUCGCAAGAGGAAGCAGUGAGUUGAAGCCCCAGUGAACGGCGGCCGUAACUAUAACGGUCCUAAGGUAGCGAAAUUCCUUGUCAGGUAAGUUCUGACCCGCACGAAAGGUGUAACGAUUUGGGCGCUGUCUCGGCAGCAGACUCGGUGAAAUCUUAGUACCUGUGAAAAUGCAGGUUACCCGCAACUAGACGGAAAGACCCCAUGGAGCUUUACUGCAGCUUGAUAUUGAACUUUGGUCGUAGACGUACAGGAUAGGUGGGAGACAGAGAGACGUGUUCGCCAGAAUACGAGGAGUCGCCGGUGGGAUACCACUCUUGUGCGAUCGGAGUUCUAACCCAGGUCCCUGAGCGGGACCGGGGACCGUGUCAGGCAGGCAGUUUGACUGGGGCGGUCGCCUCCCAAAGAGUAACGGAGGCGCCCAAAGGUACGCUCAGAUUGGAUGGAAACCAAUCGUCGAGUGCAAAUGCAGAAGCGUGCUUGACUGUGAGACAAACAGGUCGAACAGGGACGAAAGUCGGGAUUAGUGAUCCGGCGGUGCCGAAUGGAAGGGCCGUCGCUCAACGGAUAAAAGCUACCCUGGGGAUAACAGGCUGAUCUCGCCCAAGAGUUCACAUCGACGGCGAGGUUUGGCACCUCGAUGUCGGCUCAUCGCAUCCUGGAGCUGGAUUCGGUUCCAAGGGUUGGGCUGUUCGCCCAUUAAAGCGGUACGCGAGCUGGGUUCAGA